UAUCGCCAGAAUACAUUAGCAUGGAAUAAUACUAUAGGAUCUUGAUUCUAUUUUGUUGGUUUCUAGAAUUGAGAUAAUGAUUAAUAGGGACAAUUGGGGGCAUUCGUAUCAACACGUCAGAGGUGGAAUUCUUGGAUUGUGUUGCGACGAACUACUGCGAAAGCAUUUGCCAAGGAUGUUUUCAUUGAUCAAGAACGAAAGUAAGGGGAUCGAAGACGAUUAGAUACCGUCGUAGUCUUUACCAUAAACUAUGCCAACUAGAGAUGGGGCAUCGUUCACUUACGACUUGCUCCGCACCUUAUGAGAUAUCAAAGUCUUUGGGUUCCGGGGGGAGUAUGGUCGCAAGGCUGAAACUUAAAGGAAUUGACGGAAGGGCACCACCAGGAGUGGAGCCUGCGGCUUAAUUUGACUCAACACGGGGAAACUCACCAGGUCCAGACAUAAUAAGGAUUGACAGAUUGAUAGCUCUUUCUUGAUUUUAUGGGUGGUGGUGCAUGGCCGUUCUUAGUUCGUGGAGUGAUUUGUCUGCUUAAUUGCGUUAACGAACGAGACCUUAACCUGCUAAAUAGAAGUGCCUAUCUUCGGAUAAGCGUCUUUCUUCUUAGAGGGACUUUAUGCGUUUCAGCAUGAGGAAGUUUGAGGCUAAAACAGGUCUGUGAUGCCCUUAGAUGUUCUGGGCUGCACGCGCGCUACACUGAUGCGUUCAACGAGUGUAUAACCUUGCCCGAUAGGGUUGGGUAAUCUUUUGAACACGCAUCGUGAUGGGGAUAGAUUAUUGCAAUUAUUAAUCUUCAACGAGGAAUUCCUAGUAAUGAUGGAUCAUCAGUUCAUCGUGAUUACGUCCCUGCCCUUUGUACACACCGCCCGUCGCUCCUACCGAUUGAGCAAUCCGGUGAAUAUUUCGGACGGAGAUUCUUCGGGGCAACUCGUUAGAAUUUCUGAAAGUCAAGUUAACCUUAUUGCUUAGAGGAAGGAGAAGUCGUAACAAGGUUUCCGUAG
rnacentral:rRNA from 1 species